CUCUCCUGUUCCUCUGCCCCCGUCUCUCUCCCUGUCUCCCAUCCGCUCCUCUACCCCUGUCUUCCCUCUACAGCUCGGCGCCUGAGUGGAGUUCAGCUUCCCAGCUGACUCCACUCAGGCAAUCAACCACCUCUACGGCUCCCGGACAGCUGACAGACAUCACUCUGAUUACUCACCUCAGCAAUAAGAACCGGCUCAUCCUUCCACUCCCUGCCAGACCCAGGUGUCCAGGAUCCCGCCGCCCAGAACCCUCGUCCAUUUUCCCCAACCCGUUCAUCACCGGUUUCCCUCCUGCCUGGACCCCCCGUUCCUGCCUGGACCCCCCGUUCCUGCCUGGACCCCCUGUUCCUGCCUGAAUCCCCCCGUUCCUGCCUGGACCCCCUGUCCUGCUUCCCUCCCAACCUCCCGGAGCCUCCAGACCCACCUGGCCAAAACCCCCCACUAUAUCAGCCGCUCCCCGCUCCUGCACCCUGGUUUUCCCCCCACCGAGCCACUAUUCACUCCCAACAAUAAAGCACAUUCUCAUUCCAACCAGCCUUGGUAGUGUGGCUCUCUGCUCGGGUCCAACCUGCUAAGCUGUGACAAAUACUACAGGCACUUUUUGCUUGUUUGAUCUUACAAGCUUAUUUACUGCUUCACCUCGAAGAGCAUCGGAGAAGGAGGACUGCUGUGACUUCCACUAUUUUGCACCUGACAACCAUUCCACGACAACACGAGACGGAAGCUUAUUCGUAUUGGAUAAGCUUGAUAUAUACGUACAUGUAUCCGGAUACGUGUAGACGGAGAUUUUUGUAGAAAACAGAGACGUGUGGCCGCAGAUUUUUUCCUAAACGGAGGGGGGCGGAUAUUCGGUUUUAAAAAUAUCCGGAUACGUAUGGAUAUGGCCUGAAGGUCUGUGGGUGAAUUGGCUCUUCAAUCAAGCCGUGAUUGGCUGCUUAUGUUCAUGGAACUAGACUUCACAUUUCUAAUACAUUUUUUCUCAUUGCAAUUGAUAAGGUCUCUAUCGCUGGUAUGAUAGAACAUUAUUUCAUCACCUAGACGUAGCUGCAUACUAAAUAUUUCCAGAAAAUCCUCCUCGCUUUAUCACUGAUACUUUACCUCCAGCAUCUUUGCUAAAGAGUGAGCUGUGUUGCCCUCUCUGCGAUCACCUCCUUUCCUCUUUAUUGAGUUGACCGCAGCUAACCACGAGAAUUUAUGCCUCUGCUUCUCUUCACCCCCAACCACAUACGACACUUGGACUCUGGUUCGGUGUUCGCUGUCUCACCCCGAUCCCAGCUUUUGAAAACACACUAUGUCUGCUGCAGGAGGUGGUGGGGGGUGGGAGUUGUGGUGCUGCCGGGCCAUUAGGAUGCCACAGACUGUGAAGAGGAAGACAGGCGGGCCAAACAGCCUCGGGCAAUAAUGGGGGAUACGUGUCAGUGUUCUUGAAGGGUACAUAGUGUACCCUGCGAUAAAAUUGGCACCAAAUACAAUGAAAAAAUAGAAAGAUGUGCGUCAGACAUCCAGAAGGAAGGAGUAGCUUCAGCAUUAUGUGCCACUCCCCUCCCAUCAUUAAACCACUUAAUACACACAGAAAGAACUGUUCCUUCCUGUUGCUUCGCACAUCACACACAGGGUGACUGCUUGUCACUGAUAAUGACAAUUCAAGGCUGUUCAGUCAGUGUGGAAGUCAUUUGUGGUGCUGUGAGAUGCUAGUAAUAUUACUGAUUUUAAAAAAAAUGAUACAAUGAAUCUACAUUACAUGUUAUAGGCUGAUGGAUAGUGGCCGGAUGAUUCUGUUCAGUGCAGCUGGUCUACUUCUCCUCUGCUUUGACGCAAGAGAGAAAGUCAAGGUGAGAGAAGCGAUAAUUUUUCUGAGGAAUGUUUUCACUCCAGCACAUUAAAAAAGGAAUCGCACACAAUAUUCUAAAUGCCGCUGCGUCAGAGAGGAGCUCAGCAUAUUGCAGAGAGGGAGAUUCCUGCGCAGCCAUUUUGAAUCAGUACAAUACAGUUCUGUUUACAUCCUGCAGCACUCAGACAGGAAAUACGUUCACCAUAAUGUUCGUUUGUGUUUAAAGGUUCACAUACAGGUUAUUUUCAAGGGCCCACAAAUUUCCUUCCAGCUGACUGAGUUUAAAGCACACAGAUCACAGCUGGGCGCAAAAUAUCAACUGCGGGCUUUUUUCUUAGUAAUUUGUUGCAGUAAUGCGAUUACUUUUUGUCGUAAUGCUAGGAUUGUAGGCACAGUUUGAAACCUAAUUCAAAUUUGUAAUCCCAGUAAUGCUCAGCCACUGUUACGAUUCUGAUGGAUGGUUGAGCAAAGUUUCUGCAUUGACAGAGUCCAUGUUAGCUUAGCAAAAAAGUGGUUAGCCUCCGCUGAAAGACAAACAAUGCAGCCUGUGGUGUCCCCCGGGCUUUUUGUAUUUCCAUGUUUUCAUGUACAGAUCAGCUGCAACAUGAAAACCACUGACAGCUAAAGUGAAUGAUGUUGAUUAAGUCAUUAAAAUGCAAUGUUCUGCUUGGUAAUCAUAGGUCCUACUUUGACAUGUACCUCUGACCUAAACAUGGGAAUGACAUUUCCUAAAGCCAGCAGACUAUCCUUGCAAGAGUAAUGCACCCUGCCACACUGCAAAAACUGCUUGAGGAACACUACCAAGAGUCACAGAUCUUAACUUGGCCUGAAUUCUCCAUAUCCUUCCUCAAUGGAGCCUCCAGGAGAGGCACCCAAACAAGUUAGGUUGAUGGGAUUCAAAGGCUCUGCUGCCAGUGUCGAUGGAUGGAUGGAUGGAUGGAUGAAUGGAUGCAUGGUAACUGCACCACAAGGUUAUUAGUUCAUAUGCUCAACAGUACUGUAAGUCCACACAAUAUGUAGAUGCCAUCCCACUGAAAAGGAGUUACCCAACUGGACUGAAAAAUAGUGUAAUAGCGAUAAUUAUGUAUGUGUGGAGGCCAAAGGUUUCCCUGUGAACAACUGCAAGAGAAAAUAAUCAAGCUCUUGUUGAGGUGGUUUUAAUGUUGUGACUAACUGCUACUUUUUUUAGUGAUGUAAGUGAUGUCUUGUAACUAGUAUUUAAAGCUAAAAGGAAAAAUGUUUCUAUUUUGUUUUAUUCUUGAUUUUUCCAUCCAUCUGUCCAUUAGACAUAGAUAUCUUUUAAUAAUAUUUAUAGAGAUCUUUGAACUUGCGUCUUCUAGUCCUGGUUUUCUGAACACAUACAAACUCUUUGUAUUUUUCUUUUUUUCACACAGCACAGUCUCUGCUGUGUGAAGGGCUACAGUUAGCAGAGCUCCAGUCUCCUGAGCACCUGGCAGAAUGAAUUACUGCGCUUCACAGGACUGGAAAGUGGGUCAGGCUCCAGUGCUCUGAGCAGCCAUCUCAGCUCACUGUAGACAUCCAGUUAUACAAACAGAUCUAUUGUUAUUGACCGUGAUCAGGGCAAGAUGCUCCUGAGCCCCAAGAUGGGAAGAGAGGCAGCUCAGGAAUCUGGAGCUACUAAAGAAAUGUGGAAAAUGUGCAAGGGACGUGACAUACGAGCAUGUGUAUGUAAGCACAUGUUCACUACCAGAUUGUGCUCUUACAGUAUUUAUAGACUUUUAAAUGGGCCACUGCAUGCAUUCUCUCCAUUUCGUGUCCAAAACUCUUUGUUGCUCCAGAAUCACCCACGAGCUAAAAACAAGUUUGUGAACACCGCUGUCAAAGUGUGAAAAGUUGAUAAAAGUAGGCCAAUGCUCUCUGUAGUCUGACCGAUCACUGUUAUUCACCGACUAUCCGCCAUAAACCUGAGUGUUUAAAAUUAA